rnacentral:rRNA from 1 species
AACGUAGGAGACGAGCGUUAUCCGGAUUUACUGGGCGUAAAGCGUGUGCAGGCGGUUCGGCAAGUUGGAUGUGAAAUCUCCUGGCUCAACUAGGAGAGGUCGUUCAAUACUACCAGACUUGAGGGCAUCAGAGGAAGGUGGAAUUCCGGGUGUAGUGGUGAAAUGCGUAGAGAUCGGGAAGAACAUCGGUGGCGAAGGCGGUCUGCUGGGCCGUUGCUGACGCUGAGGCGCGACAGCGUGGGGAGGCAAACAGG